UACGGGGGGAGCAAGCGUUGUUCGGAUUUACUGGGCGCAAAGGGCGCGUAGGCGGCCAGUGCAAGUCAGUUGUGAAAUCUCCGAGCUUAACUCGGAAAGGUCAACUGAUACUGCUCGGCUAGAGUGCGGAAGGGGCAACUGGAAUUCUUGGUGUAGCGGUGAAAUGCGUAGAUAUCAAGAGGAACACCUGCGGCGAAGGCGGGUUGCUGGGCCGACACUGACGCUGAUGCGCGAAAGCUAGGGGAGCGAACGGG
rnacentral:rRNA from 1 species